rnacentral:rRNA from 1 species
AUUCGCGGCCUAUCAGCUUGUUGGUGAGGUAAUGGCUCACCAAGGCGACGACGGGUAGCCGGCCUGAGAGGGUGACCGGCCACACUGGGACUGAGACACGGCCCAGACUCCUACGGGAGGCAGCAGUGGGGAAUAUUGCACAAUGGGCGGAAGCCUGAUGCAGCGACGCCGCGUGAGGGAUGACGGCCUUCGGGUUGUAAACCUCUUUCAGUAGGGAAGAAGCGAGAGUGACGGUACCUGCAGAAGAAGCGCCGGCUAACUACGUGCCAGCAGCCGCGGUAAUACGUAGGGCGCAAGCGUUAUCCGGAAUUAUUGGGCGUAAAGAGCUCGUAGGCGGUUUGUCGCGUCUGCCGUGAAAGUCCGGGGCUCAACCCCGGAUCUGCGGUGGGUACGGGCAGACUAGAGUGCUGUAGGGGAGACUGGAAUUCCUGGUGUAGCGGUGAAAUGCGCAGAUAUCAGGAGGAACACCGAUGGCGAAGGCAGGUCUCUGGGCAGUAACUGACGCUGAGGAACGAAAGCAUGGGGAGCGAACAGGAUUAGAUACCCUGGUAGUCCAUGCCGUAAACGUUGGGCACUAGAUGUGGGGGACAUUCCACGUUCUCCGCGUCGUAGCAUUCGCAUUAAGUGCCCCGCCUGGGGAGUACGGAAU